rnacentral:tRNA from 1 species
GCGAGUGUAGUUUAAUGGUAGAACUUCAACCUUCCAAGCUGACUGUGAGGGUUCGAUUCCCUUCACUCGCUCCA